rnacentral:misc_RNA from 1 species
AAUGACCCCUUUUGCCUUCUAAUUGCAGUUUAUCUUGUUUUUAUAAUAUUGUUUAAUGGCGUUGAAACUUUUCGAUUAUUUUAAUAUAUCAUCUUAGUUGUCCUUUGCCUGGUAUUGAGUCCCCUUUGGACUCCUGAGUUCAGUUACAGAGAAUUAGGACCUACACCAGAGGAAUGAUUAGGUAUUAACAAUUCUUAGUUUACAAAUGAAGUCAAUUCUUGCUAACAUUCUUUGUAGGGAUUGGAUAUAAAUAUGUCCCUGGUUUUUUGUUUGCCUCAAGCCCAAUCAAGCUUCUUAGUAGUAUCACUAGAGAAACAUACCCCUCCUCUCUUUCUCCACAGGCUUAGCUUCUAAUUGUUAAUAUGGAGACUCUGGGAGCUUUUCCUGACGGAGAAUGGGACUUCAGCAGAAUGUUCUCCACACAAGAUCAGCUUGAUAUCGCACGGGAAUUGCUUGGUCAGUGUUCAUUUCCUCUCGAGAACGACGGAGGAUUGCAGUUUACUACCCUGUCAGCUUUUUCCCCAAAUCCUGAAGCCAUUGUGAACAUGUCUGAGGUUAAUGAGAGUCUGUUUUAUUCUUGGAAUACUCUCAACAAUGACUUGAAUCUUCUAUCUCAGGAAAAUAGUAGCAGCAGUAA